UGGCGAGAGCAACACAAGCAAAUAAACUGAAGCAGUGGCUGCGCAUUGAUGGAGAAAGACUAGCACAGGAUAAGUUCACUACAGCAAAGUUACAGCUAAGGAGGCCUUUAUAUCAGUAUGUCGGUUAGUACCUAAAUUCUGGCCUGUUAAUUCAUUUUCUUGAUUUAAUGGAUUCUGAAGAAGAAGGUGAGGUCUUUUCAGAAGAUCAGAACCAUGUGAUUGCAGAGGAGGACGAUGAAGAGGAGGAUGCCAAGAUUUUCAAUGCCUGGAUGCAGCGGUACAGAGGUGGCGAGCAGCAGAAGAAAACAGACGAGGAGCAAGACGAGGAGGCAGAAGAAGGAAAAGUUGAAAGCAGAAUCAGCUACGAGUCGGCGGCCCGGCUUCAAACCAAGCGCCGAUCAUCGCUGCCGUGUCCGGCGACUGUGUCCACCACAGAGCUGGCUCGUCUCCACUCCUGCACCCGGGCCCCCGUGACCGCCAAGACUCUGCUGCGGCGCUCCUCCUCACGCCGCCUCCUGCCAUCGCAGCAGGAGGGUGCCACCUGCGCUCUUGCUGCUGAGCGAAGACCCCUUCUCAUACCUGCAAUCCCAGAGGCCGGUACGCCUGAGAGAAAGAGCCAGUUCAGGAGACGCAAUGUCAUGUCUUUGGGUCGCAGGCGUGCUGGAGCCCAUCCCAGCCAUCAUCGGGCAGGAGGCGGGGUACACCCCGAACUGGUUGCCAGCCAAUCGCAGGAGCGAUGCAGACAGCAUGUGUCUGAUCUGCCACAAUGACCUGAAACGAGGAUCCGGUGGUGUCCGAGAGCUGCAGUGCACACACACCUUCCACCGAGAGUGUAUAGAGGAAUGGUUAUGGAGGAAGCAGUCUUGUCCCACAUGUCACGUCCAAGUGCUCACGCCGCAGCAGGCUGCCUACUGGAGCUCCACCACUGUGAUCGUGCCCUGAGAACAGUCUGGAGAGCCACCAGGAGGUGGUCAAGGCUGCAGUGGCCUUCACAACUUCAUGCAUCAAGUAACAGUGACAUGGUCAGCGGGGUUGCUGGGGACUUGAUCAAGAGCAUACUCAAGACUAUUGUGGGCACUGGGAGGCUGGGUUGAUAUUUAAAGUCAUUUUAUUUAAAAUUAUUCAACCCUCCAGGUAAAUUACAAUUGUUUUCAAAAUUUACAAACUUUCAAUAAAUUACCACUUUCAAUAUUGACUGCUUGUAAUAUUAGUUGUGUGGCACCAGUGAAUUUGUUGCUGUUUUCGUUGCAAACUACUGUUUGUACAUUUUGUAAAUAAAUAAGGUGGGUUGACGAAUUCUGUACAUGCAUACAUUUUGGGACAGCGCAGUGUGAAAAGUGUUUAGCACGUCUGUCUCACAGUCCUCCCUCAGGCCCUCCUGGGUGGAGUUUGCAUGUUCUCCCCAUGCUUUCGCAGCUUUUCUCUGGGAACACUUGAGUUCCUCCCACAAUCCCAAAAUUAAAAUUUUUGGUUAAUUGAAAACUCUGAAUUGUCCAUAGGUGGCUUGUGACAAAAGUCAUAAAAGUCACAACCAGAGAAACCUCACUGUGUUGGUGAGGUUAAUUUUAAUAAAGUUUCAUUGGACCAAGGAA